UACGUAGGGUGCGAGCGUUAAUCGGAAUUACUGGGCGUAAAGCGCGUUCAGGCGGUUUGGCAAGUCGGGCAUGAAAUCUCUCGGCUCAACCGGGAGAGGUUGUCCGAUACUGCUGGACUUGAGGGCAGUAGAGGGUGGUGGAAUUCCGGGUGUAGUGGUGAAAUGCGUAGAUAUCCGGAGGAACACCAGUGGCGAAAGCGGCCACCUGGACUGUACCUGACGCUGACACGCGAAAGCUAGGGGAGCGAACGGG
rnacentral:rRNA from 1 species